AUUGACCAAUGCUCCUCACCAUUUCCAAUAGUGACUUUUUUCAGUAGAGAAAUAGACACCUCUGUUAUCAUGGAGUGACCAUACGGGGUGUCAUGAUCGGGUUGAAUAUUCACGCAGACUACAGAGGGAUGCUGGUGAAGCUACAAGCGCUCUACCAAGGCAAAGGGGAUGUCAUGAGGAGUCCUACAGCAGAGCUCAGCAGAAAGUGGGAGCCGAGAAACAUCCGGCAUUUUAUGCCACAGUAAGGUGGUAUUCACCUAAGAGUACCGCCACGUCGUUGGUAUCUGGGGAAAGAGAAUGAUGCCGCUCUAGCACUGUGAAACAUUACGGGGUCGGCCGAGGGGAGCUGUCGGAGGCCUUAAACCACCGGGUUGCCGUUUCUGUCUCACAACCGUGCACAGACCGCCUUCCCCGGCCGGGCCACAGCGCAUGUCACACCGAACACUGGCAGGAGCACGGAUCCCUGACAGUACAAUCAUUCCAGUUGCUGAAUAAUAAGCAAACAGUGACCUACUUUUUCAGGCAGGGAACAUGAGAGACAGAAAACACGGAGCGGAGUCUGGGGC
ensembl:lncRNA